GAGUGGGUUGCUCCAGAAGUAGCUAGUCUAACCGCAAGGGGGACGGUUACCACGGAGUGAUUCAUGACUGGGGUGAAGUCGUAACAAGGUAGCCGUAGGGGAACCUGCGGCUGGAUCACCUCCUUAAUCGAAGA
rnacentral:rRNA from 1 species